CUUGCACAGGUGCUGCAUGGCUGUCGUCAGCUCGUGUCGUGAGAUGUUCGGUUAAGUCCGCUAACCGAGCGCAACCCUCGCUGUGUGUUACAAGUGUCACACGGUACUGCCGGUCUUAAGCCGGAGGAAGGUGGGGAUGACGUCAAGUCAGCAUGGCCUUUAUGUCCUGGGCUACACACACGCUACAAUGGCCAACACAAUAGGUUGCUAAGCCGCGAGGUGGAGCCAAUCCUCAAAGUUGGUCUCAGUUCAGAUUGCAGGCUGCAACCCGCCUGCAUGAAGAUGGAGUUGCUAGUAACCGCAGGUCAGCUAUACUGCGGUGAAUACGUUCCCGGGGCUU
rnacentral:rRNA from 1 species